rnacentral:sRNA from 1 species
CCCAGCACUUACGUGCUGGGCUAGAUUCUUCCGCCCCCUUCGGGGGCU